GACGAACGCUGGCGGCGUGCUUAACACAUGCGAGUCGAACGGUGAAGCGCCUUCCUUUUUGGUGGGUGUGGAUGAGUGGCGAACGGGUGAGUAACACGUGAGUAACCUGCCCCCUUCUUCUGGAUAACCGCAUGAAAGUGUGGCUAAUACGGGAUAUUCUGGGUCUGUCGCAUGAUGGGUCUGGGAAAGAUAUUGUUUCGGUGGGGGAUGGGCUCGCGGCCUAUCAGCUUGUUGGUGGGGUGAUGGCCUACCAAGGCGGUGACGGGUAGCCGGCCUGAGAGGGUGGACGGUCACACUGGGACUGAGACACGGCCCAGACUCCUACGGGAGGCAGCAGUGGGUAAUAUUGCACAAUGGGCGCAAGCCUGAUGCAGCGACGCCGCGUGAGGGAUGGAGGCCUUCGGGUUGUGAACCUCUUUCGCCAGUGAAGCAGGCCUGCCUCGUUUGUGGGUGGGUUGACGGUAGCUGGAUAAGAAGCGCCGGCUAACUACGUG
rnacentral:rRNA from 1 species